ensembl:lncRNA
UGUAUGGUUGCCCUCCUAACUCUCCCUCUGUAAUGUUACAGGACAGAAGACUGUAUGGUUGCCCUCCUAGCUCUCCCUCUGUAAUGUUACAGGACAUAAGACUCUGUAUGGUUGCCCUCCUAGCUCUCCCUCUAAUGUUACAGGACAGAAACAUGCUGCUGGCUUUAUCUCCUUUGUUUUGACUUUUUAUUGAAGCUUUUAUUUAUUUAAGCAGGGAGUCGUGCUGAGACCACUGCCUCUUUCACAGAUGAGCCCUGCAUGAACACAUCAAUACACAAAACGUUGUUAGCGUUGAAAAUAGAUUGACAGCUUCGAGGACAUGUAACAUGUCUGUCCUGUGUGCAGGAAUCACCAGCUAGCUGGGCAGCAGACAGUUGAUAUUGGACAAUGUACAGUAAGAGGAGCAUGGAUAUGCCUGGCUAUUCUCCUCUCAGCCAGCUGGCAUCCUAGUUAUUCACCCUUGGUGGGUUUCAUUGAAAUAGUCUGUGUAUUCUCUCUCUCAAUUCAAUUUGCUUUAUUGGGAUGAUGUAACGUUUUGCCCAAGUGUACUUUGGAGAUGAAGUGAUACAUUUACGAUAUUAACAGAAUUUAAAUAAUCAUUAUUGUCAACGGGAUAAAGGGUAGCAACAAUAAUUUAAGGGUAAAAAUAAUCCUACAAUGGCAAAGAGGACAUGUGCAGGUUUGUUGACACUGUCCCUCAUCUUCUGGCAGGCAGCAAUGUAGUGCUCUGCCAACCCACAGCUCUCUGUGUCCUCCCCCAACAGGACAGGUAGCCUAUCCUCAUCAGAGAGGUCUUCAAUGUAGUGCACUGCCAACCCACAGCUCUCUGUGUCCUCCCCCAACAGGACAGGUAGCCUAUCCUCAUCAGAGAGGUCUUCAAUGUAGUGCGCUGCCAACCCACAGCUCUCUGUGUCCUCCCCCAACAGGACAGGUAGCCUAUCCUCAUCAGAGAGGUCUUCAAUGUAGUGCGCUGCCAACCCACAGCUUUCUGUGUCCUCCCCCAACAGGACAGGUAGCCUGUCCUCAUCAGAGAGGUCUUCAAUGUAGUGCUCUGCCAACCCACAGCUCUCUGUGUCCUCCCCCAACAGGACAGGUAGCCUAUCCUCAUCAGAGAGGUCUUCAAUGUAGUGCUCUGCCAACCCACAGCUCUCUGUGUCCUCCCCCAACAGGACAGGUAGCCUAUCCUCAUCAGAGAGGUCUUUGAAACCUUCAAUAAGUGUUUCAAAUUUGGGGAAAUGACACUCUCUAAUUAUUUUAUAUUGUUAACAUUUUGUCAGGAAAUGCAGCUCUGUCUCAGGUUCUGCUGUGGUGCAGUGGUUGCACAGCCUUUCCUCUACAGGGAGCCAGGUUUUCCUGUGUCGACCCUUCUCAAUGGCAAGGCUGUGCUCACUGAGCCUGUGUUUUGUCAAGGGUUUUCUGAUCAGUAACCAUGGUCCAAUAGUUAGCCACGGUGUACUGUUGAUUUAGGGCCAGAUAGCACUACAUUUAGCUUUGUGCUUGUGUUUCCCAGUAGGUAAUGGAGUUCUGUUUUCACUGUGUUGUAAUUUGGUUUAUUAUGAUCGAUUUUGGAUGUUCUGGUCCUGAGGUUGGUCCUGAGUUUGUGAACUCUGCCCCAGGACCAGCUGGAUGAGGGGACUAUUUUCUUUGCUCAGCUCUUGGCAUUUCAGUGCUUGGUAAUGAUAUGAGAGGGGGUCACUGUAUUUUAGAUGUUUCCAAAACUUAAUUGCAAUUUUUUAUUUUUAAAAUUAUUAGUGGAUAUUGGCCUAAAUCUGCCCUGCAUGCAUUGUUUGUAGUUUUCCUCUGGUCAUGUAGGAGAAUCUUACAGAAUUCUGCAUGCAGGGUUUCAAUGGGAUGUUUGUUCCAUUGGUUGAAAUCUUGUUUUGCAAGUGGACUCCACACCUCACUGUCAUUAAGUGCAAUUAGUUCAAUGACACAUUCAAUUAGUUUUAGCCACAUGUUUAUAGGCAUUUCAAGUUGAAUGAGUUGUUUAAGGGCGUAGAAUGUCCUGAGUGCUUUCUCACUGUUCAUUCACUGCUUCAUUUAGGUGUCCAGUUGAGCUUGUUUUUACACAUAAGUAAUUGUAGUGUGUGCAGUACUCUAUAUAUUUUUUGUACCAAUUGAGAACUUUGGUCUAAUUCCCCCUAAGAUCUGGAUCCUCUCUGGAAAAUAACCUUUUUUUUUAUACUAUUCUUUCUUUGUCUCAAUUAAAUGUCAAUUUAAGGGGCUUGAUUGGCAUGGGAAAACAUUACACUCACAAAAGUUCCAAAAGAAUAGAAACAUUUCAAAUGUCAUUUGUCUGUAUACAGUGUUGUAACGAUGUGCAAAUAGUUAAAGUACAAAAGGGAAAAUAAAUAAAC